CAACAGCACACGACGUCACGGCCCAUACGAGUGGACACUGCUGUGAUUGACAGCUGGUAUCAUCCAAUAGGAGCCUGGUGGCAAAACCCACAGAGUCGUCACAGCAGCAGAGUAGCAACACAUUGCUUCACGAGUCCCCCUCCUUUUUCUUCCUCUGGCUAAAUAUCCUGGUCCUGGUUGAACCUUUAAGGGUUCAGUGAGUUCAAACAACCCCAAGGGUGAGCAAACGACUGAGUCCAACUGACCGGCGUACGUCGUCUGCGCGUCUUCCUGGCCCAAAAUCUAACAAUACAAGGAAGGGGGUCUGCGCUCUGUCUAGACGAUGGUCUGUCGGCUGUGGUGGAUCAGAUUUGGUGUGGAACCAAACAACAACAGCUGUGACCACCUGACCCAUCUGACUGAGGUUAAAUGAGUGUCCCACUCGUCUGGUUGGUCCUGCUCUUUCCCAUCACAGUUGUCUAACAACCCCACGGCCAGAAAUGUGAUCUUUCCAAGUUUCUUGCCAACAUUCCUCGAGGGGAUUGACGCGUUUGACUGUACAUCUGACUGACUGUCUGUGCCACACUAUACCACACCAGAGGGGCGGGUUCACUCUCGCUGUCACUUCAGACAAGAUGAUGAGCAAUCUCCUCUCGCAUUGCCGUCCCAUUCCGUGCUCCCGAUGACAUGUUUUCAACACAGUCUUCAAGGAGCACUCUCCGGGGGGAACUCUCUGCAUCCUGCAUCCGUCACGUCAUCACAGACGAGGGGGAACAGCCCUCUGUCGCGCCCUUUCCCUCUGACGCUGCUCUGAUUGCCACAUUAGUGGAGCUGUGUGACCACAUCAUCAAGAGCAGUGAGCGCAGCGCGGGGCUUAUUAUCUCUCAUUGCCUCCUCCAGGAACAGGAAAUGAACUGAGCAAGUCCAGGGCCCGUUCCAGGGAAUUAAAUCUCCGAGGGUUUAAGGACUGGAGUGACUUUUUUUUUUUUUAUACCAACUAACCAAAACACAAUUAUCCAAUUCCCCUAAACGACGUAUUACAUUUGCAUUAGAGUUGUUUUGGACAUGGGGACACACGGAAAGGAACGGCGAUGUUUGGAAGAUCAUUGUGCUUCCAUCGUUACCUGGAAGUCCCUCAGAAUCGGAUGAUUGACGGAUCCUGAUAGUGACUAAAGUGUUGGUGUUGCCUGUCAAGUCUGCCGUAUAUAAACAAGUCUGCAUGCUGCUCCGUCUCAGUCUGUCAGUGCUGUCAUGGGGCAUUACCGCUCAAUGCAACCUCCCUUUACUUCUCUUUCGUGACUCUCCCUCCGCCAUGUCACUUUCCAUUAAAUGCUGCCUCUUUUCACUUCAUCCAUUUACUUUACAUCUCUACCUCCUCCUCCUCCUCCUCCUCCUCCUUCUUCUGUUUGACCAAGUCCGUAGUCAUUGUCGGACAAGGCAGCCUCUGUCUGAGCACUUAGCUUGUGUGAAUACAUGCAUCUGUGUGUGCGUCUAUGUGUGCUUGAAACUGUUGAUACCAGUGUGUGUGUGUGUGUGUGUGUGUGUUUAAGCACGCCUGGGCUGAGCCUUGAGGGCAGUCCUCCUUUGUCCUCCCAACCAUCUCCCAGAGAUGGAUGUGUCUCUAGGGAAUUGGCCCCAGAAGAAAAGCACCUCCAGCUCUCUCUCAUAUUAAAUUCUGCUGAGCAAA